rnacentral:rRNA from 1 species
GAUGAACGCUGGCGGCGUGCCUAAUACAUGCAAGUCGAGCGAACAGAUGAGGAGCUUGCUCCUCUGACGUUAGCGGCGGACGGGUGAGUAACACGUGGAUAACCUACCUAUAAGACUGGGAUAACUUCGGGAAGCCGGAGCUAAUACCGGAUAAUAUAUUUAACCGCAUGGUUCAAUAGUGAAAGACGGUUUUGCUUUCACUUAUAGAUGGAUCCGCGCCGCAUUAGCUAGUUGGUAAGGUAACGGCUUACCAAGGCAACGAUUCGUAGCCGACCUGAGAGGGUGAUCGGCCACACUGGAACUGAGACACGGUCCAGACUCCUACGGGAGGCAGCAGUAGGGAAUCUUCCGCAAUGGGCGAAAGCCUGACGGAGCAACGCCGCGUGAGUGAUGAAGGUCUUCGGAUCGUAAAACUCUGUUAUUAGGGAAGAACAAAUGUGUAAGUAACUAUGCACGUCUUGACGGUACCUAAUCAGAAAGCCACGGCUAACUACGUG